rnacentral:snoRNA from 10 species
GUUUUGUUUACUUUGAUUAAUCAAUAUGUUAGAGCUCUCUGUGGGGUUUUGCAAAGCUGACAUGUCCAGUAUAUAUACAUUAAGGAGAAAAUAUCUCAGCAACUUAAGGUCUUAUGCUAUGAAGCCCAGUGGGCAUAAGUUUAUUGCUUUAGAUGUUGGCUUUUUUUUCCUCCUUAAAUUAACUGAAAACAGCUUGGAAAGAACUUCACAGUAACUUUCUGGCUCAUCAGCACAAGGACAGCCUAGGACCUACUGGCAGAAAUGUCAUAGGAAACUUAUAUUCAUUGUUCUCCAAUUUGGAUCAAUUAAAUAGAACAAUACAAGGGACUUUUUUCAAUUACAGUAGAAGGCCCUAAGCAAUCUGUUGGAUGGGAAUUUUUAAGAUUCAUGUUUGCUGUGUUUAAAAGAGAAUAAUCUUCACUUGGAGUUUAAAAAGAUGAAAACAGUGAGACCUCCAGAGAGCAGAGGACAAGUCCUCUUUUCAGGGCAGUGUCCUUUCCUCUCCUGAAAGCAGAACUACAGUUUUCUUGGAAAAUAAAUAAAUGAAUGAAGAGCUAACCUGAAGCUAGCAACUUCUAGCGGCCAUUGGUAAUAAAGCGUCUCUAUCCCUUUCUCAAAUCAACCCAAGAACACAGCCCACAGGAAGUAUGUGGAAUGAGGGCAGACAGAGAGGUCACAUGAAGUGGUGGCACAAAAGGGAGAAACCAGGUAUGAUGACUGGAGCUGUUGCACUCAUCUUGUGACCAUGAAGAAAGGGUGCAAGAAAGUACAGAGACUGUAUCAUGGAUCUCCUUAAAGAGUGCCAGAAUUGACAUUUGUCUACACAGCUCACUAUGUGCGAAAUAUAAGACUUCAUACAUUUGAUAUGGUAUCACUGGUUUAUUUUUGUUGUUACUUACAGCAAGAAACUUUCCUAACUUAUACAACUACUGCCAUCGCUCUAUCAAACACUAAGCUAAUGAAUCAUAUCUGAAACCUGAAAUGUGUCAACAAAAGAUACAGCAUCUUGGAUUUCUGGAUUUCUACUCCAUUCCUUUAUUUUAUUUUUGCAUUUAUUUCUUCUUUCUGAAGAAAUAAGGAAUUAUUUCUUUCAGAAAAUUGUUCAUAUCUACAUUACUUUCCAGUCCUGCCAGAGAAGUAAAAAGGACCAAUGGAACACAUGAACUUCACAUUUGGCUUCAGCCAUUUAGGUCUACCCCUGCCAAGCCCAUCAUUUUCAGUGAGUAUUGAAUAUUCAUAUUUCCCGCUUUUCUCAAUUAUAUUAAGCCAGACACCUGCUAUGUUCAUCUAGCCAUCAUCAGAUACAAGAGGAUUUGCCCACAUUUGCCAGCUUGGACAAAGAAGUUUUAAUUCCCUUUUAAGAGGCAGUAUAUCCCUCCUCUAUGCAAUAUUGGAAGCCAGGAUGGAAAGAAGAAUGGCUAUGAAUUAAUGUUUUAGAAAAAUAAUAAUAUAUCUUAGUUUUCCUAUUUCCCUCACUUUGGGGCUUGCAUUCAUCUUCCUUAAGGUAUGUUUUUGUUGAAAUGGUUUCCUUCAUUUCCACUGCAAUGUAUCAAACUGCUAAUUCUAAGACAACUGACCUAUUUCGUUUUCUGGGAACAGCCUAUUUUCACAUAUAAUAUUAAUAAAGCUAACAUUAAUCAAGGGUUUACCAUGUGCCAGGCACUGUGCCAUGGUCUUUUAAAUGCAAAUCUCAUUUAAUAAUCAUGACUCUAUGAGGUAUGUUCUAUUAUUAUUCCCAACUUACAGAUGGAAAUGGAGGCUUGGAGAGGAGAAGUAACUUGUGAAUGGUUACAUAGCUUGUUAGUAAGUGAGAUAGAAUAAUUUAAACGAGGUCUACCUGACUCCAAAGCCUAUUCAUGUUUCUAGUAUGGCUGUUUGAAGCCUUACUGACAUAAUUCACAAUGAAAAACAUCAAGAAAGUGCAAUGAAGGACAGAUUCUGUACCUAUACUUUAGUAUUUAUUGACUUGAUUUAAGUCAUAGGAGAAACUGCCGAGGGCAGAACAAUAAAAUAUGUUAAUAUCCAAACAGGGAAUAUCAUGGGGCCUUCUUAGCUGAGAAAGGAGACUUCAGGUAAUAAUUUUGUGUAUUGUCAGAUCCAUAAAUGAAACCACAACAACCUUCACUACUCAGUGAAGCCACUGUGCUUCAUAACUCCCAACAGUGCUUCAGCCUCAAGAAGAACAGUACGUUCUCUUUUCUGGAUUUUUGAGAAUCUUUCAACCUCUUUGUGUGAAAACAAAAUCAUCAAAAGCAGAAAUUCCAGCGUCAGCUGGUUAUUCACUAAUUUAUUCGUGAAGUGCAUUAUGCAAAGCACUGAAGAUAAAAUAAGAUUCUGACCACACAGAAUUUGCUGUCCAGAAGGAGAGCUAGACAUGUGAAGGAAACCUUGCCUCAGCAUGUGAUAAGUGUGCAAAGUGCAGCAAAGGCAGCAAAAUAGAGUGACCGCCUGUGGCUGCAUCAUGAAACAUGGCAUUAGAACAUAAGAAAAACAUCACUGUAUUUUCAUUUAUAUUUUUCCUGCCAUAAAAAAUAAAAAACGAAUAAUAGUAACUCUAUAGGUUUCUUGGCCCAGAGAAGAGACAUGUCAUCUGAUACCAAACAUUUUCCUGUAGGUAAUGAUUUUCUGUUCAUUCCGUCCUAUGACAAGAAUCCUAUCAGCCUAUGUGUGUAACUAUGCCCCCAUGGAAUGGUGGGAGCCAAGCCUAAGUCUUGCUAACAUGGAUUUCCCCUUCAGUGGAAUUCUCUCAAGGAGGCUAUGUAAAUAAAGAGAGAAUUGCUGCCCCUGAGUUCAGUACCACAGAUUUUCUUUCCCACACAGGACAAGUGACCAUCUCCCACUCACCACUUUUGGGUCAGUUUUCCAAAUCAUCACUGUUGCCAUGUUUCCUCAUUCUUGGGCUCUGGACACCACAACAGUUCCUAUGGUCCAGCAGAGUCCACACUCCCCCUAAUCCCCCAUCAAAUGGCCAAACCUCACCCAACAAACCAUUUUCCCCAGUUGAUUCAAGGUGGUUUCCUCAGUGGGGCACAAAAUUGCCAUGUAUAUUCCUGCUUCUGUGAUUUUUUUUUUCAUCUUUCUCCCUCACUUGGAAGACCAAGCCUCUCUCUGUCUCUCCAGCCUUCAGGUUCUUCCCAUUUAAAGCCUUUCUUAAUGACUUCAACUCUCUCCCGAAUAAUAACAUAACACUUUGGGCUCUGUCAAAAAAUUAAGUGCUUGAUUAUAUCGGAUCUUGUAUUGCUCUCUAACCAUUUUUUGUAUAUAUGUUUAAAUGCUGUAUGACAGCAAGAAUUGUGCCUCAUAUGCCGAGGGACCACCUAAUCUAUCACCCAAACUGAGAGUAAAAAGAAGGUAUUAAUAGUGACUUUUAGAUAUCAGACAUAAUCAAGGGGUGUCCCUGGAAAGCCAGGACUAAUGGUCACUCUAUUUCAUUUGUAUCUGUCACAGUUCUUGGUAUAGAACCUAGGUCAACAAUUACUUGACUUAGAUUGCUGCACUGCUUUCUGAAGGACAAACAGAAUUUUACCUAUAAAUCUUUGGAUUUGGAAUAACUUUUUGAUUUCAUAAUCGUAUCAUGGGAAUUGUUGUCAGUUUUUAAUAACUGAAACACAGAAAGUAAGAGGGAUAUGGGUAAUAUUUUAAGCUGUGGAACCCAAAGGAAAGGAAUUAUAAAAAAAAUUACAUAUUAACUAGUGUAACUUUAUUCUGCAGGUGACAGAGCACCAUUUGUGAUUUUUAAGUAGUAGGGUAGUUUUGCAUGUGAAUGUGUGGGUUUGAAAUGGUAAAGGAUAAACUUGGAAAAUCUGAGAAUGGCUGAAAAGAGACUUUGGGCAAUGGUUACCACAGUCUAACUAAGAAAUGAUGAGGGCUUGAACUUGGCCGGUGGUAAUGAGAGAACAUAGACCAGAGAUUUUUUGACUUACUGUAUAGGGGAUAAAACAGAAGGAAUCAAGAUGACUAGGUUUAUGGACUUUUAGGAAACUCAGUGGGCAUAUCCAGAAAAAUAAGAUUUGCCUCACAGAAAUAACAAGCAGAAUGCAGCAGAACCAGACAUCUACUGAUGUUCCUCUGUGUGUUGUCUUUUUAGCAAGCCCAUUUUUGCCAGUUCCCAGGAGCAGUAAUGUGGAUCUAGGAUCAGGUAUCUCAUAACACUAUGGUUUUUCUGAAAUGGGAAAAGCAUAUUCAUCCAUUUGAUGAUUGAGGCUAAUUUUAUGAUCAACUUUGCUUAUCCAAGUUAGGCAGAAAUCUUCUCCUUCUUUCAUAGCUAUAUAUCAUAAAACUAUUGCAGAAUCAGCAAUGUGUUCUGUGAUGUUUAGUUGUCAUUAUUUUCCGAUAUCCUUAGAACAAAGAAUGAAUACAUAAUGGAAUGCUGUUACAAAUGCAAUGUCUGCUAUAAUAUCUGGUCCUGAAUGAAUGAAUAAAAGCUCAGUCAUUUAAAGAGCAACUUUAUAUGUCUAAGCUCACUGAUGCAAAUAUAACCUGCUAAUAUGUCCUGGAAUCAAAAAUUCAAUCUGAAUGUAUGACGUAUAGAAGGAAAUUGUUAAUUGGAAUGUUCAAUUAAUGUUCAGCUUAUGGUAUAAUUUUAUAAUAUAACUUCACUUUUUAGAAUCUUCUAGUUUUUGUAAGCAACUUCUAUACAAAAUUUCCAGAUCAAAUAAUAAUUUUAAUUAGUAUUUUAAAUGAACAUUUAUUCAUUAAACCAAUAUUAUUGUGUACAAUUGUAGAUUGAAUUCAAUUUUCUCUUGCCUCCAAUAAAGAAGGAAC